UGCUUAACACAUGCAAGUCGAACGAUGAACCUCCUUCGGGAGGGGAUUAGUGGCGAACGGGUGAGUAACACGUGGGCAAUCUGCCCUUCACUCUGGGACAAGCCCUGGAAACGGGGUCUAAUACCGGAUAACACUGCGGAUCGCAUGGUCUGCGGUUGAAAGCUCCGGCGGUGAAGGAUGAGCCCGCGGCCUAUCAGCUUGUUGGUGGGGUGAUGGCCUACCAAGGCGACGACGGGUAGCCGGCCUGAGAGGGCGACCGGCCACACUGGGACUGAGACACGGCCCAGACUCCUACGGGAGGCAGCAGUGGGGAAUAUUGCACAAUGGGCGAAAGCCUGAUGCAGCGACGCCGCGUGAGGGAUG
rnacentral:rRNA from 1 species